AGAGUUUGAUCCUGGCUCAGGACGAACGCUGGCGGCAUGCUUAACACAUGCAAGUCGAACGCAUCAAAGCUUGCUUUGAUGGCUGAGUGGCAGACGGGUGAGUAACACGUGGGAACUUACCCUUUAGACUGGGACAACCACUGGAAACGGUGGCUAAUACCGGAUACGCCCUGAGGGGGAGAGCAGAGAUGCGCUAAAGGAGAGGCCCGCGGCAGAUUAGGUAGUUGGUGGGGUAAAGGCCUACCAAGCCUGUGAUCUGUAGCUGGUUUGAGAGGAUGAUCAGCCACACUGGGACUGAGGCACGGCCCAGACUCCUACGGGAGGCAGCAGUGGGGAAUAUUGGACAAUGGGGGAAACCCUGAUCCAGCAAUGCCGCGUGAAUGAAGAAGGCCUUAGGGUUGUAGAGUUCUUUUGUCCGUGACGAUAAUGACGGUAGCGGACGAAUAGCCCCUGCUAACUCUGUGCCACCAGCCGCGGUAAUAC
rnacentral:rRNA from 1 species